CCUACGGGUGGCAGCAGUCGAGAAUCAUUCACAAUGGGGGAAACCCUGAUGGUGCGACGCCGCGUGGGGGAAUGAAGUUCUUCGGAUUGUAAACCCCUGUCAUGUGGGAGCAAAUUAACAAGAUAGUACCACAAUAGGAAGAGACGGCUAACUCUGUGCCAGCAGCCGCGGUAAUACAGAGGUCUCAAGCGUUGUUCGGAAUCACUGGGCGUAAGGCGUGCGUAGGCUGUUUCGUAAGUCGUGUGUGAAAGGCGCGGGCUCAACCCGCGGACGGCAGAUGAUACUGCGAGACUAGAGUAAUGGAGGGGGAACCGGAAUUCUCGGUGUAGCAGUGAAAUGCGUAGAUAUCGAGAGGAACACUCGUGGCGAAGGCGGGUUCCUGGACAUUAACUGACGCUGAGGAACGAAGGCCAGGGGAGCGAAAGGGAUUAGAUACCCCUGUAGUC
rnacentral:rRNA from 1 species